CAGUCGCCGCGGUAAUACGGAGGGAGCUAGCGUUGUUCGGAAUUACUGGGCGUAAAGCGCACGUAGGCGGUUAUUCAAGUCAGAUGUGAAAGCCCGGGGCUCAACCCCGGAACUGCAUUUGAAACUAGAUGACUAGAGUCUUGGAGAGGUCAGUGGAAUUCCGAGUGUAGAAGUGAAAUUCGUAGAUAUUCGGAAGAACAUCAGUGGCGAAGGCGACUGACUGGACAAGUAUUGACGCUGGGGUGCGAAAGCGUGGGGAGCAAACAGGAUUAGAUACCCGUGUAGUCCCUGUCUCUUAUAC
rnacentral:rRNA from 1 species